rnacentral:rRNA from 1 species
UACGUAGGUGGCAAGCGUUGUCCGGAUUUACUGGGUGUAAAGGGCGUGCAGCCGGAGAGACAAGUCGGAUGUGAAAUCCACGGGCUCAACCCGUGAACUGCAUUUGAAACUGUUUCCCUUGAGUGUCGGAGAGGUAAUCGGAAUUCCUUGUGUAGCGGUGAAAUGCGUAGAUAUAAGGAAGAACACCAGUGGCGAAGGCGGAUUACUGGAUGAUAACUGACGGUGAGGCGCGAAAGCGUGGGGAGCAAACAGG